CAGAAACUUAAAUGAAUUGACGGGGCCCGCACAAGCGGAGGAGCAUGUGGUUUAAUUCGAUGAUACGCGAGGAACCUUACCUGGGCUCGAACGUAAGAUGACUGUAGGUGAAAGCUUACAUCUCUUCGGAGCAUUUUACGAGGUGCUGCAUGGUUGUCGUCAGCUCGUGCCGUGAGGUGUCGGGUUAAGUCCCAUAACGAGCGCAACCCCUACCCUUAGUUGCCAUCAGGUUAAGCUGGGGACUCUAAAGGAACUGCCUACGCAAGUAGUGAGGAAGCGGGGAUGACGUCAAAUCAGCACGGCCCCUACGUCCAGGGCUACACACGUGCUACAAUGGCCGAUACAGAGGGCAGCUACCUGGUGACAGGAUGCAAAUCUCCAAAGUCGGUCUCAGUUCGGAUCGGAGUCUGCAACCCGACUCCGUGAAGUUGGAUUCGCUAGUAAUCGCGCAUCAGCCAUGGCGCGGUGAAUACGUUCCCGGGCCUU
rnacentral:rRNA from 1 species